rnacentral:rRNA from 1 species
UCCUACGGGGCGCAUCAUUUUUUUAUAUUUCACAAUUUUUUUAACCCUUAUUCAUCUACGCCGCGUGGGUGAAGGAGCGUUUCGGCGCGUAAAGCCCUAUCGGCAGGGAAGAAGAUGACGGUACCUGACCAAGAAGCCCCGGCUAACUACGUGCCAGCAGCCGCGGUAAUACGUAGGGGGCAAGCGUUAUCCGGAUUUACUGGGUGUAAAGGGGGCGCAGACGGCAAUGCAAGCCAGGAGUGAAAGCCCGGGGCCCAACCCCGGGGCUGCUCUUGGAACUGCAUGGCUGGAGUACAGGAGGGGCG